AUGGGGAGAUCGGCCCUUUCUUCCUGCCAGGGCAACCCCUUCUCCCUGUUCCUUUUCAACAUGGUUGUCGAUGCUCUGGCCGCCAUCUUGGAUAAGGCCAAGGCGGCGGGCCGCAUAAAGGGGAUAGUCCCGCAUCUUGUUGGGGAGCACGGGGUCUCCCUUCUCCAAUAUGCGGAUUACACCAUCAUCAUGGUGGAAGGAUCGGAGAGUGAUAUUUCGAACCUCAAGUUCCUUCUGUUGUGCUUCCAACAGAUGUCUGGCCUCAAGGUCAACUUCGACAAGAGCAAGGUGAUGGUCUUGGGGUACUCCCAAGACGAGCGCCAGAGUAUUGCGGAUCAGCUUAACUGCCAGCUUGGGAGCUUCCCCACGACUUAUCUGGGGAUACCCAUUAGUGAUUCUAGGCUCACGGUGGCCGACCUGCGCCCCACGGUGGGGAAGCUUCAGCACCGUAUCGAGCCUUGGCAAGGUCGUUGGCUCUCCAAAGCAGCAUGUACGGUGCUCAUCAACUCGUCCCUCUCCAGCAUGCUCUUGUUCAUCAUGAGCUUCUACAGCCUUCCGGAGACGCUUCAUCACGAGAUCGCCACUGUUCAAGGCCGUUUCUUCUGGGCCGGUGAGGGCGACAAGCAGAAGUACCACAUGGUUAGGUGGUCAGAAAUCUGCAAGCCUCACGACCAGGGCGGACUCGGGAUCAUGUCCUCCAAACGCAUGAACAUUGCCCUCCUAACUCGGUGGCUUUGGCGGAUUGCCAACGGAGAUGGUGGCAUGUGGCUUCGCAUCAUUCAGCAGAAAUACCUCUAA
rnacentral:rRNA from 1 species